rnacentral:misc_RNA from 1 species
CAGGAGGACAAUCCUGGACAAUAGAAUGGCUGAAGUUUGAUAACUCCUACUUCAAGGAUAUCAAAGAAAGGAAGGAUGAAGAUUUACUUGUGUUGCCAACUGAUGCUGUUCUUUUCGAAGAUCCUUCAUUCAAGGUAUAUGCUGAGAAAUAUGCUGAAGAUCAGGAAGCAUUCUUUAAGGAUUAUGCUGAAGCCCAUGCCAAGCUCAGCAA